rnacentral:rRNA from 1 species
AGAGUUUGAUCCUGGCUCAGAGCGAACGUUAGCGGCGGGCUUAACACAUGCAAGUCGAACGAGAAUGAAGGCUUCAGCCUUCUAGUAAAGUGGCGGACGGGUGCGUAACACGUAGGGAAUCUACCUUUCAGUGGGGGAUAACAGUCCGAAAGGAUUGCUAAUACCGCGUACGUCGGCGAGGGCUCUGGUCCUUGCCGGGAAAGAUGGCCUCUCCUUGGAAGCUGUCGCUGGAAGAUGACCCUGCGGCCCAUCAGCUAGUUGGUGAGGUAAUGGCUCACCAAGGCUAAGACGGGUAGCUGGUCUGAGAGGAUGAUCAGCCACACUGGGACUGCGACACGGCCCAGACUCCUACGGGAGGCAGCAGUGGGGAAUAUUGGGCAAUGGGCGAAAGCCUGACCCAGCCACGCCGCGUGAGUGAUGAAGGCCUUCGGGUCGUAAAGCUCUGUGGGGAGGGAAGAAUAGGCUUGGGGCUAAUCACCCGAGCUCUGACGGUACCUCCUUAGCAAGCACCGGCUAACCCUGUGCCAGCAGCCGCGGUAAUACAGGGGGUGCAAACGUUGCUCGGAAUUAUUGGGCGUAAAGCGCGCGUAGGCGGCAACUUAAGUCAGAUGUGAAAGCCCUCGGCUCAACUGGGGAAGUGCAUCUGAAACUGAGUCGCUUGAGUAUCGAAGAGGAUCGCGGAAUUCCCAGUGUAGAGGUGAAAUUCGUAGAUAUUGGGAGGAACACCGGCGGCGAAGGCGGCGAUCUGGUCGAAUACUGACGCUGAGGCGCGAAAGCGUGGGGAGCAAACAGGAUUAGAUACCCUAGUAGUCC